ACCUGGGUGGCUCAAUCGGUUGAGCGUACGACUUCAGCUCAAGCCAUGAUCUCGUGGUUCGUGAGUUCGAGCCUCGCAUCAGGCU
rnacentral:tRNA from 1 species